CCAUACCCGAACCACUCUUAAUUGCACCUAUUUUCUUUGCACACGGUUUGAAUUGUUUUUAGCAUUUUUCAGUUUAAUUGUAUUAUUAUUUACAGAGCACACACCAUAUCUCGCAAUAAUCAGUUAUGUAUCCAAUACGAAUAUAUACAAUACAUAUUUAUUGUCAAACCCAAGAAUAUACAUGUCGCCAAAGGUGGACUACAUGACUUGGUUGCUUCACUGUUACUACCAAGGAAAAAAAGAAAAACAGAAUACUUUCCAUGUAUAUCAACUUUAAAAGGAUGCCAUGCAUGGAACUUUGUAUGUAUGGUCUCCAUCAAAAGUGGAAAAGUUUGUUCUAAUAAACCAUACUACUUUUCGUGAAAGAGUGUACUAGGAUGCUCUUACAGGUAAAGGGACGGUUGAAAAUUAUCCAUAAACAUCUAGUAGAGAAAGUAGAAGCAGGGCACUUCGGGUGUACUGAAAUAACCCGACAAGUAUAUCAGUUAGAUGUAUAGACCAAAAAGUGAGCAAGCUUUUGAGUGACCCUUUUUAAUACAUAAAUUCCCCCCAAGACACUUCAAAGGUGGCCGGUGACGUUUCUAUAUUGUCGAAAUAGCUUGUUUGAUGGAGGCAGGUCAUGUGCCCCCUUUUUCCUAAAUGAAGGAAUUUACACGCCAUGCAUAUACACGUAGGUAGAAUUUAGUUA